AGAGUUGAUCAGUGGCUCAGGACGAACGCUGGCGGCGUGCCUAACACAUGCAAGUCGAGCGAGGAGAUUCCUCGGGAUGAUCCUAGCGGCGGACGGGUGAGUAACACGUGGGCAACCUGCCUCAUAGAGAGGAAUAGCCUUCCGAAAGGGAGAUUAAUACCUCAUAACAUUGCAGUUUCGCAUGGAACAGCAAUUAAAGGAGCAAUCCGCUAUGAGAUGGGCCCGCGGCGCAUUAGCUAGUUGGUGAGGUAACGGCUCACCAAGGCGACGAUGCGUAGCCGACCUGAGAGGGUGAUCGGCCACAUUGGGACUGAGACACGGCCCAGACUCCUACGGGAGGCAGCAGUGGGGAAUAUUGCACAAUGGGGGAAACCCUGAUGCAAGCAACGCCGCGUGAGUGAUGACGGCCUUCGGGUUGUAAAGCUCUGUCUUCAGGGACGAUAAUGACGGUACCUGAGGAGGAAGCCACGGCUAACUACGUGCCAGCAGCGGC
rnacentral:rRNA from 1 species